rnacentral:misc_RNA from 1 species
CCCUAGUAUUUCAUUCUUGUCGUCGUUUUGCUUAGUUAUGGAGUCGCAAAAUAACAAGAACUCAUCCAAGUUGAGGCUCGACUUUCCCACCGAAGACUCCAGCUCCUCCAGGCUGAAAUUGACCCCGAUUCUCUCCAGAAGCCAAUUAAGCUCAUCUAAACUCAAAAGACCAUCACCAUUUUUGUCAAGCUUCUGGAAAAUCCUGUGCAAAUCUUUGGCUUUGAGAGGACACAUAUUGCAGAGAAG